GCUGGUCUAACGGAAACAAUGGCACAUC
rnacentral:sRNA from 1 species